rnacentral:rRNA from 1 species
CAGCCGCCGCGGUAAUACGUAGGGUGCAAGCGUUAAUCGGAAUUACUGGGCGUAAAGCGCACGUAGGCGGCUUGGUAAGUUAGAGGUGAAAGCCUGGAGCUCAACUCCAGAAUUGCCUUUAAGACUGCCGAGCUAGCAGGUGAGAGAGGUAAGUGGAAUUCCGAGUGUAGAGGUGAAAUUCGUAGAUAUUCGGAAGAACACCAGUGGCGAAGGCGGCUUACUGGCUCAUACUGGACGCUGAGGUGCGAAAGCGUGGGGAGCAAACAGGAUUAGAUACCCCGGUAGUCCCUGUCUCUUAUAC